ensembl:lncRNA
UAGUUGGGGCUGAGCUUCUUCUCCACCAUGUGUAUUGACUGUUUUAUCAUCAUGAGAGUAAAGCACUGAUUAUGGUUCCACAACAAAUACAACGCAAGGACCACGCUGACGCUUUGACCCAGUCGUGAACCUGUUUUGGUUUUGCGUCGGGUUCUAGUGAGCGAAUCAAUCACAGCCGUUGCUGCUGCGUCGUCUCGAACGCAUGGUUCAAUUUUUUUGGGAAGAGGUGCACAUCAGGCCCUUGCGGUGGACGCAAGGAGGGUCCGCAAGGACGUAAUGGGUCCGUAAACCCCCUUGCGUUGCGUCGACGUGGAACCAUAAUCAGCCCUUUGCAUGGUGAAUGUCUGCCUCGGCCCUGACGUAACCCCUACCGUAGGCCCUGCGUGAUGACAUGGAGUACCAGGAGGAGAGCCACACACAAGACGUGGAGCGACUGAAGGCCGCACACGCUCAGGAGCUGGAGCGCCUGCAGACCGAGCUGGUGUCCGGUAGGGAGGGGCUGAGGAUGGAGCUGGCCCAGAUGCACAUGGGGAAGUUCAGCGCCAUGGCAACCGAGCUCAGCAACGCCCACAAGGUGGACUUGUCUGCUCAAAAGGAGGCCUUGGAUGCUGAACACUGCAAGGCUCUGGAGACUCUGAAGAUGCAGGUCCUUGAGUUGGAGGAACAACACGUCAAUGCUCUUCAGGAGCUGUCCCACAGCUACAACACAGAGAAACAACAGCUCCGUGAUCAGCAUCAACUCCAGCUACAGGUGGGUGUGACGUGAUCUUAGUCUCCAUGACAUUGGUGCUGUCUAGCUCCACUAGUAGGUGGUGGUGAUGGGAACCACUGGUGGUUCGGGGUUUGAUUCCCGUUCAGGAAUAAGGCGCUACGUUGUAAGAGUGAAUAUGUAUGGCAUUUGUUGCAACAUUUUAGCCAAAGCGCCACUUGACUGCAAUAAUGGCAUUCUUGACAUUCACAUUUUACAUUACGGGAUUUUGCUGACCUUUUUAUCCAAAGCGACUUGCAACCAUUCAUUCACGCAUUCACACACCGAUGUCGGAGUCUACUACGCAGGGUGACAGCCAAGUCAUCAGGAGCAGUUAGGGUGAGGCAUCUAGCUCAGGAACACCUCUAAACUCGGAGCCGGAGGAACCGGAGAUCGACCAGCAACCUUCCGUUAUCCGGUCAACCCGCUCUACUUGCGCUGAGCUACUGCCACCUAUUCUUUCAAUUCAAUACAGUUGGUAUCUCGUGUAGCGUGGGUAUAAUUGUUGUGAAGCUAAAUGCAUGGUGUGCGUUUCUUAUUAUGUAGGAGCUGAGGCAGGUCUCUGCCCAGGAGUUGGAGGUCUGUUGCAGGGAGCUCAAAGAGGAGUCGGCCAGACAACAUGUGCAGUUCAAGGAACAGAUGCAACUCUUUAAGGUCCAAUCGGAAGAGAGGCUGCAGGACAGGCUCGGCAAACUGAAGGUAACUUAGGAAGAGGUGCUUUAUGGGAAAUGGAGGCACAUGGCCUUUAUUGUAAGUCUUAUCCAUGCAUUUGAGUGCCACCCCCCCCCCCCCCCCCCCCCCAAUUCAUCUAUCCAGGCAUUCUAUACAGACAUUGCAUUCAGAUAACCCCAAUCGGUAACCUUUUUAUACAAAACUUAACAUCCACAUGUUUUUGAUAAUCAACCUAGUUUUUGUUGGGGUUCUCUUAGCAGAUAUCAUUAUGUUAUCAUGUAGGAUUAUUGUGCGUGUGUGUAUUAUUUGUGACAAUGCUCUUCUAUACCCCAUCUGCACCCUGCAACUCCUGGGAGAAAUGGCUGCUCCUCGACCGGCUCCAUUUUAAGCUGUGCACCAGCCUAGUUUCCACAUAAUCUCUCAUCAUAUGUAAAGCAUGAGAGCCCUUUUUCUAACCGUCUGUGUGCUGUGCGGAGCCAACCAUAAACGCUGGCUUAAUAGGAUGGAUUUAAGCUUUUCAUCCUCUAAUGCAGAAGGUUUUCAUUGGAGGCGAAUGAUGACGAGCAGCUCAAUAGUCGCAUGGCA